CUCUCUCUCCAGCUAUUCUCCAUGCCCCAGGAGCAAGAAACCCUAGGGUUUCUUGCCGCCAGGUCCAUAGAAGGCAGGAAAAGUAGGGGAGGCGCUAGGGUUUUGAGCCCCUCCCCCUUUGUGCUACCAACCAUAUUGCCUCUCCCUCUCUUACAUCCACCCAAACAUCAAGUCCAGGACUUGAAAUCUCUUGCUAUAAGAUUGGUACAAGUUUCUCUUAGAUCUGGAGUUGAUCUGAGGUCGUUUGAGGCACGGGUGAGAUCUCCAUCAACAGAUCUAUAGGAAAGGCUGCAGCAGGACAGAUCUGCAAGGUCUGGUUCUAUCUACC
rnacentral:lncRNA from 1 species